UAACGAAUUUUUAGAAGGAUAUAUUAAGAAUGCAGGUAUGGCUAAACUUAAUGAGGAUCCCACAGAGAGAAUAGUGCAGACUUGACAAAAUUCUGAAAGCUAAGAAAUGCCCGAGUUUUAUUAAGAAAAUGAAGGUUUUAUCACCAAAGCCACCCAGAAUGUUUGCUUUUAUAAAAACCCAUAAAAUGCCGAUUGAUAUCAGGCCAGUAGUAGAAAGAAGAGAUGCACCAACAUUUUUAGUUGAGAAGGCCGUAGCACAAUGGGCUAGAGGAAAACUCCAAGGAUAUGAAUGGUCCCUAACCUCGUCUAGACAAUUUAUUGAUGCCCUUUUGGAGAGAGGCCCUCUCCCAGAAGAAGUUUUAGAAGUAUAUGAUUACGAAGCGCUUUAUCCCUCCAUCAAAU
rnacentral:lncRNA from 1 species